rnacentral:rRNA from 1 species
UACGUAGGGGGCAAGCGUUGUCCGGAUUCAUUGGGCGUAAAGAGCGUGUAGGCGGCCAGGUAGGUCGGUUGUGAAAACUGGAGGCUUAACCUUCAGACGUCGACCGAAACCAUCUGGCUAGAGUCCGGAAGAGGAGAGUGGAAUUCCUGGUGUAGCGGUGAAAUGCGCAGAUAUCAGGAGGAACACCUAUUGCGAAGGCAGCUCGCUGGGACGUUACUGACGCUGAGACGCGAAAGCGUGGGGAGCAAACAGG